GUUGAUUCCUUAGUGAACAAUGUUUCCCAAGCUGAAAGUGAAGAGUUGGGUUGUUCACAACCUGUUGCUCUCUCUGUUCAGUCUGUUAUUCCUGGCCUCACCUCUGAUGAGUGCAAAGCUCUUUUUGCUUCAAAAGUCCAAUCUGCAGAAUACAAAUGCCACUGCGGUUGAUGUUUCCUCUGCUUAUCACAUAGUUGGUUCCUGGCUCAAGCACAGGACUCACAUUCGAGGAGGAUUGGCAUGACUAAACUUAGAGAUGGUCUAUACCUCAUGAACUUAUCUGCCCCUGCUGUUUGCAAAGCAAAAGCGAUUUGCCUUAUACACUUGGAACCAGUAU